GAUGAACGCUGGCGGCGUGCCUAAUACAUGCAAGUCGAGCGAACGGACGAGAAGCUUGCUUCCCUGAUGUUAGCGGCGGACGGGUGAGUGACACGUGGAUAACCCACCUAUAUGACUGGGAUAACUUCGGGAAACCGGAGCUCAUAUCGCAUGAUCUUUUGAAUCGCAUGGUUCAAAAGUGAAAGACGGUCGUGCCGACAUGUAUACAUGGAUCCGCGCUGCAUUAGCCAGUUGGUUAGGUAACGGCUUACCAAGGCAACGAUGGAUACCCGACCUGGGAGGGUGAUCGCCCACACUGGAACUGAGCCACGGUCCAGACUCCUACGGGAGGCAGCAGUAGGGAAUCUUCCGCAAUGGGGGAAAGCCUGACGGAGCAACGCGGCGGGAGUGAUGAGGGUCUCCGGAUCGUAAGACUCGGUUAUCGGGGCAGAACGUAUGUGUAAGUAACGGUGGACAGCUUGACGGUACCUAAUCAGAAAGCCACGGCUAACUACGUG
rnacentral:rRNA from 1 species